AUGAACGCUGGCGGCGUGCCUAAUACAUGCAAGUCGAGCGAACAGACGAGGAUCUUGCUCCUCUGACGUUAGCGGCGGACGGGUGAGUAACACGUGGAUAACCUACCUAUAAGACUGGGAUAACUUCGGGAAACCGGAGCUAAUACCGGAUAAUAUAUUGAACCGCAUGGUUCAAUAGUGAAAGACGGUUUUGCUGUCACUUAUAGAUGGAUCCGCGCCGCAUUAGCUAGUUGGUAAGGUAACGGCUUACCAAGGCAACGAUGCGUAGCCGACCUGAGAGGGUGAUCGGCCACACUGGAACUGAGACACGGUCCAGACUCCUACGGGAGGCAGCAGUAGGGAAUCUUCCGCAAUGGGCGAAAGCCUGACGGAGCAACGCCGCGUGAGUGAUGAAGGUCUUCGGAUCGUAAAACUCUGUUAUUAGGGAAGAACAAAUGUGUAAGUAACUAUGCACGUCUUGACGGUACCUAAUCAGAAAGCCACGGCUAACUACGUG
rnacentral:rRNA from 1 species